rnacentral:lncRNA from 1 species
AAUAAAAAAUACAUUGUAAAUAUGUUAUUACAUAGAAAAGAAAGUGGUAAUAGUAGUAGCAGUUGCAGUAGUAGUAGUGAUAAUAAAAAAAAAAAAAAAAAUCGAAUAUAUAUAUUGAAACCCUUGAAAAUAUUUAUGAAUGAUGUGACAUAUGUUUUUCGACAAAAUAGUACAAAAAAAAUACGUUUUAUUAAUACAAAUAGGAAAGAAUAUGCAGUUAUUGAAAUAGUAGAUAAAGUAAUAUAUGAAUUAGUAUUUUUUUAUUUUCAAUCUAAACAAUAUAUAAAUUAUAUAGUAGACAAGUUUCAAAAAAAACAAAAAAAUACAGCAGAUGGUGAUGAGUUAUCUAUGGAUACGUAUGAUCAUAAAUCUUUGGAUUUUUGUUCUGUUAAGCGUGCGGAGUUAGGUUUGGGUGGUGAUAUUAGCACAUCUGGUUUUAUGCGUAAUAACACAUCUGGUCUUAUUCCUAAUAACUUAUCUGACCCUAUUCCUAAUAACACAUCUGGCUCUAUUCCUAAUAACACAUCUGGCCUUAUUCCUAAUAACACAUCUGGUCCUAUUCCUAAUAACACAACCGAAUAUGUUAAUAAAUUAAUAAAUACAAAUGUACACUCACAGAACCAGUAUAAUAACAAUAUGGCUACCACUACAAACCCAGUUGAAACUAAAAAUACAACUGGAAUUAAUAUGUUAAAAUAUGAUACUAAAAAUGUUACAAUGGAAUCAGGUGGACAAAAGGAAAAUGUUAGCAUCGAUAAAGAUAUGAAUAUACUUUUCCAUGACUAUAACUUAAAAAAGAAAUGCGAAAUGAUAGGUGGUAAUGAUGAUGGAGUAAAUGUACAUACAGAUGCAUAUGCGAAUGCGCAAAUAGACACACUUACACAUACAGAAGUAGUUAAUAAAAAGGAUAAAGAACUUGCUAAAGAUGUUUCUAUAACUACGUAUGAUAAUAUAUAUGACAAAAAAAAAGUUAAUGAAAACAUAAGCAAACAUAACAACAGUAAGUGUAACAAUAUGAGUCACUCACAAUUAUAUGAAACUAACCAAGAAGUAAUAAUAUUUUUGAAUAAAACAAAAAUCCAUUUUAAUAAUUAUAAAAAGAACAAGAGAAUGGCGUGUAUUCACAUGGAUGACACUUUGACUUAUUUAUAUAUGAAUAAUAAUGAUAUUAUUUUUGUUUUUAAUUUGAAAAAAAUUAAUAUACUUAACUGUUUAUCUGAUGCCACAGAAAGAUUUAAUGACAGGUCCAUAUUUGGUAUGCGUAAAAAGUGUUCUCACAACAUAUUGAUGGAUAAUAUAAAUAGUAAAAAAAGUGAUGAGGACAUACUAAUAAACAUACACAAUGGAAAUGUUUUAAAUGGAAAGCGUAACAGUGGUGGUGGUGAUAGUGGUGGUGGUAGUGGUGGUGGUAGUGGAGGUGGUGAUUGUGAAAAAUCAGAAGUAAAUACAAAAAACGAAAACAACAACUUAAAUGACGUUUAUAUUUAUAAUAAUAUAUUUAAAUUAUCAAAAAAUGGUAAUUUUAUUUUUAUAUAUAAGUUGAAAAAAAUGUUAUUUCAAAAUUACUAUGAUGACGUAGUAUAUAAGGUGGAAAAUGAUACGUGCGUAAAACAUGAUAAUAUGUAUGAAAAUCGAGAUGCCUUUAAAAACCAUACUACUGCAGUAGCACAAACUGAAUAUAAUGAUGUUAGUGGCAGGAAUAACAACAAUAACAUUAGCAGUAAUAUUAACAUUGACAGUAAUAUUAACAUUGACAGUAAUAUUAACACUGGCAGUAAUAUGAACAUUAGCAGUAAUAUUAACAGUAACAAAAAUAGUAGUAUUAACCACCAAAUGGGUAACGAAUCCACCUCCUCGUUUCAAAAUAUUUCUGAGAACUCAAAAUUAUCUAAUUCAAAAAAAAAAAACAAUACUGAUAGUGACUUUGUCAAUACAAGUUAUUAUAAUGAAUUACAUCAAGACUAUUUUUCGUUCUUGCCUCAUACUGCACAUUAUGUUGAUAAUGAUGGUAAAGAAAACAUUAAUAAAAAUAACAAAAUAAUAAAUAAUUAUGAAAAAAACAGCAAGGUAGACACAGGGAGUGGUAUCAAUACUAAUGUUGCAGGUUAUAGUAAGCGCGACACACCUAACUUAUUUAUUACUAAAUGGAAAGCUUUAUUUAAUCAAAUAAUACCCAAAAGUUUGCUUACAGAAAAUAACAAAAUGAAUAAAGGGAAAGAUUCGAGUGAACAAAAUAAGGUAAUACAAGAAGUGGUAACGAAUGAACCUGCAGGAGACCAAAAGGGAGAGGAAGAGGAAAAGAAAGAGGAAAAGAAAGAGGAAAAGCAAGAGGAAAAGAAAGAAGAAAAGAAAGAAGAAAAGGAAGAAGAAAAGGAAGAAGAAAAGGAAGAAGAAAAGGAAGAAGAAAAGGAAGAAGAAAAGGAAGAAGAAAAGGAAGAAGAAAAGGAAGANNNNNNNNNNNNNNNNNNNNNNNNNNNNNNNNNNNNNNNNNNNNNNNNNNNN